CCUACGGGCGGCAGCAGUGAGGAAUAUUGGUCAAUGGGCGGGAGCCUGAACCAGCCAAGUCGCGUGAGGGAAGACGGUCCUACGGAUUGUAAACCUCUUUUGCCGGGGAGCAACGGGGUCCUUGCGAGGGCCCAAUGAGAGUACCCGGAGAAAAAGCAUCGGCUAACUCCGUGCCAGCAGCCGCGGUAAUAUGGAGGAUGCGAGCGUUAUCCGGAUUUAUUGGGUUUAAAGGGUGCGUAGGCGGGCUGUUAAGUCAGCGGUCAAAUGUCGGGGCUCAACCCCGGCCUGCCGUCGGAACUGGGUGCCUUGAGUGGGCGAGAAGUAUGCGGAAUGCGUGGUGUAGCGGUGAAAUGCAUAGAUAUCACGCAGAACCCCGAUUGCGAAGGCAGCAUACCGGCGCCCUACUGACGCUGAGGCACGAAAGUGCGGGUAUCGAACAGGAUUAGAUACCCCAGUAGUC
rnacentral:rRNA from 1 species